UGCUGGUUGCUUAGUGGUUAGAGCGUUCGCCUUGGAUGUGGGAGAUCGCGGCUUGGAACACCGGCCCAAUCAU